GGGGGAUCUUAGGACCUCUCGCUACAGGGGCGGCCGAUGGCAGAUUAGCUAGUUGGUGGGGUAAAGGCCUACCAAGGCGACGAUCUGUAGCUGGUCUGAGAGGACGACCAGCCACACUGGGACUGAGACACGGCCCAGACUCCUACGGGAGGCAGCAGUGGGGAAUUUUGGACAAUGGGGGCAACCCUGAUCCAGCAAUGCCGCGUGUGUGAAGAAGGCCUUCGGGUUGUAAAGCACUUUUGUCCGGAAAGAAAACGCUCUGGUUAAUACCCGGGGCGGAUGACGGUACCGGAAGAAUAAGCACCGGCUAACUACGUGCCAGCAGCCGCGGUAAUACGUAGGGUGCAAGCGUUAAUCGGAAUUACUGGGCGUAAAGCGUGCGCAGGCGGUCCGCUAAGACAGAUGUGAAAUCCCCGGGCUUAACCUGGGAACUGCAUUUGUGACUGGC
rnacentral:rRNA from 1 species